rnacentral:lncRNA from 1 species
UUGGCUGCAAAGGAGGAAAAACACACACGUGUCCCCACUUCUUAACUGAGCAUUAGCAGUUCCAGAGUAAAAAAUGUUACAUACACAAGACAUUUGCGAUGUUGUUAUAUAAUGAUCCAAACAGGACGUGUCCCGAAAGAUGAAUAAUCAUCCCAGACAGGUUCUUGAAUCGUAUAUAUAUAUCACAUACUUGAAGAUACACUCCAGAUAUCCUGAAAGGUCUACGGGACAAGCAAAAACACAAUUGACACGAAAGAUAAGACAUCAACAAAAAUGCCCGCCUUUCAUCUGCUCUCUAAAACUGCUUGCUGGUCUUUUUCAAUCUUCGGUUUUCGCCUUUUCUAG